AAUGCCGGAUGUUCCACAUGAUCGCAUGUGAUUGUGGGAAAGAUUUCAUCGGCGUGGGAUGGGGUCGCGUCCUAUCAGCUUGUUGGUGAGGUAACGGCUCACCAAGGCUUCGACGGGUAGCCGGCCUGAGAGGGCGACCGGCCACAUUGGGACUGAGAUACGGCCCAGACUCCUACGGGAGGCAGCAGUGGGGAAUAUUGCACAAUGGGCGCAAGCCUGAUGCAGCGACGCCGCGUGAGGGAUGGAGGCCUUCGGGUUGUAAACCUCUUUUGUUUGGGAGCAAGCCUUCGGGUGAGUGUACCUUUCGAAUAAGCGCCGGCUAACUACGUGCCAGCAGCCGCGGUAAUACGUAGGGCGCAAGCGUUAUCCGGAUUUAUUGGGCGUAAAGGGCUCGUAGGCGGCUCGUCGCGUCCGGUGUGAAAGUCCAUCGCUUAACGGUGGAUCUGCGCCGGGUACGGGCGGGCUGGAGUGCGGUAGGGGAGACUGGAAUUCCCGGUGUAACGGUGGAAUGUGUAGAUAUCGGGA
rnacentral:rRNA from 1 species